rnacentral:rRNA from 1 species
CAUUAGCUUGUUGGUGGGGUAAAGGCCUACCAAGGCAACGAUGGUUAGCUGGUCUGAGAGGAUGAUCAGCCACACUGGAACUGGAACACGGUCCAGACUCCUACGGGAGGCAGCAGUGAGGAAUUUUGCGCAAUGGGGGCAACCCUGACGCAGCAACGCCGCGUGAGUGAAGAAGGCCUUUGGGUCGUAAAGCUCUGUCAACAGGGAAGAAGUUACAAUUGUUUAAUAGAUGGUUGUAUUGACGGUACCUGUGGAGGAAGCGCCGGCUAACUCCGUGCCAGCAGCCGCGGUAAUACGGGGGGCGCAAGCGUUAUUCGGAAUUAUUGGGCGUAAAGGGCGCGCAGGCGGUCUUGUCCGUCAGGUGUGAAAGCUCGGGGCUCAACCCCGGAAGUGCACUUGAAACAGCAAGACUUGAAUACGGGAGAGGAAAGCGGAAUUCCUGGUGUAGAGGUGAAAUUCGUAGAUAUCAGGAGGAACACCGAUGGCGAAGGCAGCUUUCUGGACCGAUAUUGACGCUGAGGCGCGAAGGCGUGGGUAGCAAACGGGAUUAGAUACCCCGGUAGUCCACGCAGUAAACGUUGUACACUCGGUGUAGCGGGUAUUAAAACCUGCUGUGCCCAAGCUAACGCAUUAA